rnacentral:rRNA from 1 species
CACGUAGGCACCAAGCGUUAUCCGGAUUUAUUGGGUUUAAAGGGUGCGUAGGCGGGCUAUUAAGUCAGUGGUGAAAGCCCCAAGCUUAACUUGGGAAUUGCCAUUGAUACUGAUGACCUUGAGUACAUUUGAAGUGGGCGGAAUGUGUCAUGUAGCGGUGAAAUGCGUAGAUAUCUGGAGGAACACCGGUGGCGAAGGCGGCAUCCUGGACCGGUAUUGACGCUGAGUGAGCGAAAGCCAGGGGAGCAAACGGG